rnacentral:rRNA from 1 species
AUGUACGAAACUAUAAAUGAGAAACAUACUGUGUGCAGUGCUCAUUAUCUCAUAUCGAUCAGCAUAUACACUAGCUCAUCAGGAAACAUGGCCACUGCCAGGAUCCAGCCGCUGUCCGCUGGCCAGCAGCAUGAAUCUGCCGGCGGCGAUCAGGAUCAGAAGAAGAUGGUGGUCUACACGGUGUGGAUGAAAUCGCUGGUGUUCAAUGGCCAUGGCUGCACCAUCUACGGCCAGAACGGUCGCGUGGCCUACCGCGUCGACAACUAUGCCUGCACCCGCAGCCGUGAGGUGUUCGUCAUGGACACCGCCGGCAAAGCACUCAUCAAGCUACACCUCAAGAAGAAUUUUGGCUUCUUCGAGACAUGGCAAGGCUACUUAUGCUGCAACGAUGACGACGACGACGACGACACCUCAAGCUUUCAACAGGAGCCAUGGUUCAGUGUUCGGAAGGAGCACAGGAUUCUGAACAAGGACGGCCGGCGGCACGGCAGUAGAGCCAUCGUCAGGGUCGCCGCCGAUGGCAAGGCGUACACUAUCGAUGGUGCUUCGCGCGGGUCCGAGUACUACAGGGUCAGCGACAGCGACGCAAGGGCGGUCAGGAGGAAGCGGACGGCGUCCGGGGUGGCGCUGGGAGAGGACGUCCUGACGCUGAUGAUGGGCCCCGCCGCGGAUCGCCUGCUCGUCGUUGGGCUCGUGGUCGUGUGUGGCCUGCUCAGCCGCUGCAUCUGA